UGGUGUGGCUCAAUGGUAGAGCAGCUGACUUGUAAUCAGCAGGUUGAUGGUUCGAUUCCGUUCACC
rnacentral:tRNA from 1 species